AUUGAACGCUGGCGGCAUGCCUUACACAUGCAAGUCGAACGGCAGCACGGGAGCAAUCCUGGUGGCGAGUGGCGAACGGGUGAGUAAUAUAUCGGAACGUGCCCAGUCGUGGGGGAUAACGUAGCGAAAGCUACGCUAAUACCGCAUACGAUCUACGGAUGAAAGCGGGGGAUCGCAAGACCUCGCGCGAUUGGAGCGGCCGAUAUCAGAUUAGCUAGUUGGUGGGGUAAAAGCUCACCAAGGCGACGAUCUGUAGCUGGUCUGAGAGGACGACCAGCCACACUGGAACUGAGACACGGUCCAGACUCCUACGGGAGGCAGCAGUGGGGAAUUUUGGACAAUGGGCGCAAGCCUGAUCCAGCAAUGCCGCGUGCAGGAUGAAGGCCUUCGGUUGUAACUAGCUUUGUACGGUACGAAACGGUGAGCUCUAAUAAGACUUGCUAAUGACGGUACCGUAAGAAUAAGCACCGGCUAACUACGUG
rnacentral:rRNA from 1 species